AUGCACCACGACACCAGCCAGCAGCCAAGCACAGAGACAAGCAGCCAAGUUCGUAUGCGAUGGAAGUAUACCUCAUUGUUGCUGGCGACGGGCGGCUGUGGCGGAGAAGGCUCGAGUCACUCCAGACGGCGGCAAGGCAAGUUGGCAGGUUGGACGGGCGAUUGCAGGCGAGGGCGGUGGCGGCCGCCGCAGCGAGCCACUCAAGGCGGCGGCGGCGGUGCGCUCCCUGCAGUUGCCAAGAUCCAAUCCUUCUUCUAUCGAACUGAGAGGACAGAGGUUAGGCUUGUGGGCUCCUAUUGGGCUCAGGUCUGUUUGCGACGUGCUCGCCGUAUCGUCGCUGUGUCCACAGCGUGUCGCCGCCGUAUCGUGUUUAUUUUUUCAUUUUUUAAAUCAAAAAUCGGGAUACCUCUGUGA
rnacentral:rRNA from 1 species